rnacentral:lncRNA from 1 species
AAAAUUUUAUUAUAUGUUUCUCAUUUUAUUUCCAAGCUUCCAUAAUUUUCUUGGCCAUUUAUUUGGUGUUUUAAAGGACUUUGUGGAUUUUACAUUUCAUUUCCAUUUUAAAAAUACCUUUAAUGUAUUUUUAUUUCAUUUAAUUGCAUUUUUAAUCUGUUUUACCUUAUGGACUUCUAUUGGCCUUGGAUCAUGAUGAUUUGACUUCAAGACUCAUCAAACUCAAUGGAUCUUGGGUGUUAAUGGGGUGAAAAUCCUAAUCCACCAAAAUUGAUGAUUGAUU